CGGAAGCGAAUGCCAUUAUAUUCUGAGAAGAAAACUUCUUUGUUUAGAAAAUGUGCAAAUUUUAGCUUUAAAUUUCGCUGAACAAUGCAUCAGAAUGGAAUGGCUUUUGUUAAAAAAUGAAAUAAGGAAACAAAACAGGUUAUUCUAAGCCAGAGGUGAGUUGAACUCGAAUAAGAGCUAUACUGGUGGACAUUUCUAGACCAAUAUUGACAACUUUUUUGCAGGAAAUCAAGGAUUAUAAAAAUGCAACGAGUACCAAAAAUGGUGAUUUCUUUGAUCCUUAUAUUCUUUCUCGCACACAAUUACGCAGCAGUAGCCAUGUACCAUACCAUUAGUGCAUCGCCAAGUUCGUCUUGGAUGUAUUCAUCAAUGCAUACGACGAAUCAAUCAUCAAGUUAUGAUUCGUCUCGGAUGGCAACACAAAUGCAUACGACGAAUCAAUCAUCAAGUUAUAAUUCGUCUCGGAUGGCAACACCAACAAUCUAUAUUAAUUCAUCAAUGACUACGCCACCAUCCAUGACCAAGGCUGUAUAUAACAGGACGAAUGGUAGUAUCGUUAAUCUGACAUCAACAACAAUGUAUACGACAUCAUCAAUGACUACGAUGAUUAGUGCAUCAGUCAAAAUGACUAAUCAGACUUCAGCGUCGACUUCUGGCGUUGACGAUGUUUCUCACAGCAUCUUCGCAAUUCUUGCCAGUAUAACAUUUUUCCUGGUGGUCUUCAUUAAACAAUAAAAACUCACCAUACUGCGUACACACAAUAGUCAGUUUUGCCUUCAAUAGAAUAUAUUCAAUGUAUACAUAAUGCACAACAACUAAACUAUAAUAAUUUUUCAAAACGCACGCUGCAUAAAUCUUGUAGGAAACUCUUUGGAACGUAACAAUAAUUGACACAUAGCCUUCUAAUUAUUUUCUAACAUGAAUUUUUCAAUUAAACUCUUAUUGAAGAUCAUUAAUUUAAAAA